UUCCAAUUUCUUGAACAGCUUUAAGAGUAUUCACAUAUUCUAUCUCUUUCUGAGUCAAUUGUAAAUAGUUUUCUUCCAGAAUUCAUUCAUUUCAUUUAAAAUUUCAAAUUUAUUGUUGUAAAGUUCUUUAUAACAUCCUCUUAAUAUGUUUUCAGUGUCUGGUGUUGAAGAUUCAGUGCCAUGUAUGAAUGACAAAUCAAUCUCUGUCAAUUACAUAACUGUAAUUGUAGGAUUGCAAUGGUAAUUUGGGUAGGAUUUUUGAUUUAUUUAGUCUGCUAUUUCUCCUUCUUUAAGUCAGACCACAAAAAUGCUCACUCUCCCAGGCUACAGAGAAAACAUGAAGGCCCUGUCCGUGGUCUAUGUGAAGACAGCGAGAAAUGGAAAUGUGACUGGACAGAAGGCAGAUGCUGCAUGGUGAACACUUUCUAGAUGGGCGUAUAUGCUGGCUCCAAAUUGUCCAGUGCUGUGGGCUUGGUAUUUGUGACGGACCAACAAGUGUGCACAGACUUCUUUGGAGCAUCAGGCUGGGGAAGAACAAGGGUUUUUGAAUUCAGAAGACCUAAAAUUAAAUCCUACUCUGGCACUUUCUGGUUAUCUGACCAUGGGCAAAACUACAACCUCUUUAAGCCUCACUGUUUUCAUUUGUAAAAUUGGAUUCACAGGAUUUAUGGGUAGGAUGAAAUAAAUAGGAAGCUCCUAGAGCUACGUCUGGUCAAAGAGAUAAUCAAUAUAUGUUACUUCCUCCCCCUUGCUUCCCAGUCUCUCAAGU
rnacentral:lncRNA from 1 species